rnacentral:rRNA from 1 species
GACGAACGCUGGCGGCGUGCUUAACACAUGCAAGUCGAGCGGUAAGGCCCUUUCGGGGGUACACGAGCGGCGAACGGGUGAGUAACACGUGGGUGACCUGCCCUCAGCUCUGGGAUAAGCCUGGGAAACCGGGUCUAAUACCGGAUAUGACUCCAUGACGCAUGUUGUGGGGUGGAAAGCCUUGUGCGGCUGAGGAUGGGCCCGCGGCCUAUCAGCUUGUUGGUGGGGUGAUGGCCUACCAAGGCGACGACGGGUAGCCGGCCUGAGAGGGCGACCGGCCACACUGGGACUGAGACACGGCCCAGACUCCUACGGGAGGCAGCAGUGGGGAAUCUUGCGCAAUGGGCGAAAGCCUGACGCAGCGACGCCGCGUGAGGGAUGACGGGCCU